CACAUCUACCUGCCCAAAGUUCUGCAGAUCCUGCUGUGCAUCACGGCCUCAGUGUCAUUUAUACUGGAUCACAGAGAACAGCUCAAACCCGGUUGCAUCAAUCCUCUGAAGAACUUACGCCGUCUGGGGAUUCUGCGCAUACAAGACUUCUUUGAUGACUUUGAGUCUUACAGCUUCACUGCAGAUGAGCUGGACGCAGUGUUUCAAGCUGUAGUGUGGCCUAAGGUGUGUCUUUUGUCCACUGAAAGCCCGUAUUCACCACCGCCCCUCCUGAAAGUCAUCCGUGUGUGGAGCCAAA